CCUACGGGUGGCAGCAGUGGGGAAUAUUGCACAAUGGGGGAAACCCUGAUGCAGCGACGCCGCGUGAGUGAAGAAGUAUCUCGGUAUGUAAAGCUCUAUCAGCAGGGAAGAAAAUGACGGUACCUGUUUAAGAAUCCCUGGAUAAAUACGUGCCAGCAGCGGCGGUAAUACGUAAGGGGCAAGCGUUAUCCGGAUUUACUGGGUGUAAAGGGAGGGUAGACGGCAGGACAAGUCUGGAGGUAAAUGCCGGGGCUUAACCCCGGAAUUGCUUUGGAAACUGUGCAGCUAGAGUGCAGGAGAGGUAAGUGGAAUUCCUAGUGUAGCGGUGAAAUGCGUAGAUAUUAGGAAGAACCCCAGUGGCGAAGGCAGCUUGCUGGACUGUAACUGACGCUGAGGCUCGAAAGCGCGGGUAUCGAACAGGAUUAGAUACCCCUGUAGUC
rnacentral:rRNA from 1 species